rnacentral:rRNA from 1 species
CUGGCUCAGAGUGAACGCUGGCGGCAGGCCUAACACAUGCAAGUCGAACGGCAGCACAGUGGUAGCAAUACCAUGGGUGGCGAGUGGCGGACGGGUGAGGAAUACAUCGGAAUCUACCUUUUCCGUGGGGGAUAACGUAGGGAAACUUACGCUAAUACCGCAUACGACCUUAGGGUGAAAGCGGAGGACCUUCGGGCUUCGCGCGGAUAGAUGAGCCGAUGUCGGAUUAGCUAGUUGGCGGGGUAAAGGCCCACCAAGGCGACGAUCCGUAGCUGGUCUGAGAGGAUGAUCAGCCACACUGGAACUGAGACACGGUCCAGACUCCUACGGGAGGCAGCAGUGGGGAAUAUUGGACAAUGGGCGCAAGCCUGAUCCAGCCAUGCCGCGUGGGUGAAGAAGGCCUUCGGGUUGUAAAGCCCUUUUGUUGGGAAAGAAAAGCAGUCGGUUAAUACCCGAUUGUUCUGACGGUACCCAAAGAAU